rnacentral:SRP_RNA from 1 species
CGCACUAGUCGGGGAGUUAGCGGUGCCCUGUAACCUGCAAUCCGCUAUAGCAGGGAUGAAUUCCUAUAUGAGGGGCUGCACCGUACUGUCUGUCCUUGUAAGUGGUGUUGAGGAAUCGGUCUUGCGCAACGGGCUCCCGUGAACCAUGUCAGGCGGGGAACCGAGCAGCAUUAAGCGGAUCUGUCUGUGUGCCGCGAGGAUGCCGUUUUUGAGCCAACUGCAAGGGAA